GCCCCGGUAAACGGCGGCCGUAACUAUGACGGUCCUAAGGUAGCGAAGUUCCUUGUCGGGUAAGUUCCGACCCGCACGAAAGGCGUAAUGAUUUGGAUACUGUCUCAGAGAGGGGCUCGGUGAAAUAGACUUGUCUGUGAAGAUGCGGACUACCUGCACCUGGACAGAAAGACCCUAUGAAGCUUUACUGUAACUUGAAAUUGAAAUUGGACUUUAUUUGCGCAGUAUAGGUGGGAGGCGUUGAGUUUAUUCUUGCGGGAAUUUAGGAGCCAUCAGUGAGAUACCACUCCUAUAAUGUUAGAUUUCUAACUUUUACCAUUAUCUGGUGAAAGAACAGUUUCAGGCGGGCAGU
rnacentral:rRNA from 1 species